CGUCAUCGAAUGGUUGUUUCGUUGGUCUUCGCGUUCAAUGAUAUAAUUUACUUAGCUGCAGACUAAUAAUUAAUAUCUAAGACUUGUUCUUAUUCUGUCGGUCUCGAUAGUCUAAAAGUUAACCACGUGGUAUAGUUCACUUUCAGUAGAGUACUUGGAUGGUCAAACCUCUGGCCAUAGAGUGUAGGCCUGGUCUGAAGAAAUGUAAAUCAGGGGGUGUUUUAUAGUGCCCAUAGAACAGCUUGUCAAAUGACGCCUGGUCCUGUAUGGGUCUCUGGGGGCGUGCCUAUGACUGAGUUAGAUUUGGUUACAGAAAUACAAUUCUAUCACAUUACAUCAGUACAUAGCAUCUCAAUGUCUUACAAAAGCUUUAUCCUUAUUAAUACAUUCUAUACAACCAUUAUGAUGCUAUUAUAUAAACAGUUUUAUGGUAAUAUGGCUAUAUUGUCUCUUCUGAGUAUCACAAAAUUGUACCAAGCGGAUCAGUUCGUAGCUGGAUUCUUCACCAAUCUUCCAUACCUUCUCCAGAACACAAAAUGUCGCUUGGCUCUCCAAUUCUAUGAGUUGGAAGAAUUUCCUGUGUCUCUCUAUGGGCCAUGUGGCCAGAGACUCUCUAGGGAAUUUUAGAGUUUUUACGACCCUUUACACACAGGGUGGAUUGGGGGGAAGGUAGGGGGUGGUUUUGCAGAAGGGAGGGGGUCAACUGUCCUCCCUGUACCAAAAGAGGCCAACGUCAUGACACUAUACAACGUUUGACAUGUUUGAACGAACGUAAAUAUAUUUUUUCCCCUCGUUCAUGAAGUGAAGUCCGGCGGGCUUAGAUCAUGUGCUAACAACACGGAGCUUUUUGGACAUAAAUGAUGAGCUUUUUUGAACAAAACUACAUUCGUUAUGGACCUGGGAUCCCUGGAAGUGACAUCUGAUGAAGAGAAUCAAAGGUAAUGGAUUAUUUACAUAGUAUUUUAGAUUUUAGAUCUCUCCAACAUGGCGGUUAGUCUGUAUCGCAAAGCGUAUUUUUCUGGGCGCAGUGCUCAGAUUAUUGCAAAGUGUGAUUUCCCAGUAAGGUUAUUUUUAAAUCUGGCAAGUCGAUUGCGUUCAAGAGAUGUAAAUCUAUAAUUCUUUAAAUGACAAUAUAAUAUUUUACCAAUGUUUUCUAAUAUUAAUGAUUUAAUUUGUUGUGCUGACUUGACUGCCGGUUAUUGGAGGGAAACGAUUUCCUGAACAUCAACGCCAUAGUAAAACGCUAUUUUUGGAUAUAAAUAUGAACUUGAUAGAACUAAAAAUGCAUGUAUUGUCUAACAUAAUGUCCUAGGAGUGUCAUCUGAUGGAGAUUGUCAAAGGUUAGUGCAUAACUUCAGCUGAUUUUGUGGUUUUGGUGAUGCCUGUCUUUGAAUUGACAAAACAUUACACACAGCUAUUGUCAAUGUACUCUCCUAACAUAAUCUAUCUUUAUGCUUUCGCCGUAAAACCUUUUUGAAAUCGGACAAUGUGGUUAGAUUAAGGAGAUGUUUAUCUUUCAAAGGGUGUAAGAUAGUUGUAUGUUUGAAAAAUUUGAAUUUUGACAUUUAUUUGGUUUCAAAUUUGCCGCUCUUGAAAUGCACCUGCUGUUGAUAGGGUGCACCACGGGUGGCACGCUAGCGUCCCACAUAGCCCCAAGAGGUUAACACACUAGCAAGUUCGAAACAAACCCCACUCCUCAUUCACUGCACAUAGAACCCCAUCCAAUCCCUCUCAAAAUCCCCCAGAUGGUUUUCCAUCCUCCCAUAUGCAUACUCCAGUGUGAGCCGAGCCGGCAUAAGUACUAGCAGCACAGCUCUGGGGUCUAUACACCCCGCCACAUGCAUCUCAUGUUUCCUGGCACACUGCCAUUUUUAACUGUCCCAACCAGUAGUUUACUAGGCAGUCCCUUCACCUAUUGGCUACGCUAUACGUAGGCCCGCCAAUAAAUGGGUCCAGAGUCAGACCCAAAAACAAAAGUAGGGUGGUUGGUCGGGGUGGAGGGAGGGCUUAUAACAUGAUUAUCUAGCAACCAAAAGGUUGUGAGAUCCAAUCUCAUCACGGACAACUUCAGAAUUUUUGCUAAUUAGCAACUUUUCAACUACUUACUACUUUUUAGCUACUUUGCAACUACUCAGCAUGUUAGCUAACCCUGACCCUAACCUUCUCUAUGAGAGGCUUAUACAGGGAGCGCCAACAUCCUCUCAGAGAGGAGCCACGUUCCCAACCCCCGUCCCUCUACCACCCUGUUGCCCUCAGCCCAUGCAGAUGGUCUUUCUGAGCCACCUUCACAGCUACCAUGUACAGAGCCUUUUUGCUGUGCAAAAGGUUCCCAGCUUUGGAGUCUUGAACGAUAGGAUCAUUCCCUCACCCUACUGGUAUUCUCUGCAGUGGCAGCAAUUGUGAAAGGAGGUAGAUCAGUGUCAUUAGUGGUUAGACGGUUCCAGUCUCCCUAGCGGCUCUCUGAAUGAGCCCGGAAGUGCAGCAUGGACCCCCUCCACCUCCUGCUGCAGCAGCCUGGCUGACCUUGUGGAUGAAGCCUCCGCGAUGUCGCUGGCAGAUUUCCACCCAGCCUCUUCUUCCAGGUCACCCAACUUAGUGAUCCCCGCUCUCACAAGCCUGGCUUGCAAGCUGGCGGAGGUCAACACUCUGGACUGGAUGAAUAGGUUGUGCAACGGUGGCUUCUCCAUUAUCCAUGGCCAUGAAACAUCUCUGUGAGCAGAUACCAAGGUCAUACCCAAGGUCCUGUGCUCUCCUCAGAACAGCCCAAGCACUGUCCCUGCAGCACACACCCUUCUGGUACAGAAGUCUCUUUGCAGCUUUAAGACGGAAAGCUGUCACUCUGGACCCAAUAUCCACCAGCCCUUGGCCCCCGUGAUGCAAAGGGAGAUGUAACACUUCUGCAUGUGGCCAGUGUUGACCAAAAUAAAUCCACCUGUGACCUCUGCAGUUGCUAGACGAGACUCUGUGGGGUUCCAACACCAUCAGCCUGUGAUAGAUCAUUGAAGCCGCCAAGUUAUUGGUGACCAGUGGCAACAACCACCGCCAUUUAGACAACUUAACUGCAACCUUGUCCACCAGCCCCUCCCAGUUUCUCUCCUGAAACUCUGAGGCCCCCAAGAACACCCUUAAGAACAUCUCUUCUCUGCCCCACUGUAGCCCCCCAGGAAGACUAGGAGAUCCUGCUAUGACCCAGUGUAACCCCCCAGGAAGCCUAGGAGAUCCUGCUCUGACCCACUGUAACCCCCCCAGGAAGACCAGGAGAUCCUGCUCUGACCCACUGUAGCCCCCCAGGAAGACUAGGAGAUCCUGCUCUGACCCACUGUAGCCCCCCAGGAAGACUAGGAGAUCCUGCUCUGACCCACUGUAACCCCCCAGGAAGACUAGGAGAUCCUGCUCUGACCCACUGUAGCCCCCAAGGAAGACUAGGAGAUCCUGCUCUGACCCACUGUAACCCCCCCAGGAAGCCUAGGAGAUCCUGCUCUGACCCACUGUAACCCCCCAGGAAGACUAGGAGAUCCUGCUCUGGCCCACUGUAACCCCCCAGGAAGACUAGGAGAUCCUGCUCUGACCCACUGUAACCCCCCAGGAAGACUAGGAGAUCCUGCUCUGACCCACUGUAGCCCCCCAGGAAGACUAGGAGAUCCUGCUCUGACCCACUGUAGCCCCCCAGGAAGACUAGGAGAUCCCACUCUUCUCCCAGGUCACCUUAGCUGAUACCAUCACCUCAAACAACAAUAAAGCCUUGCUAAACUCUUCUACAUCUCCCUCCCCUUUAAAAACACUGUUACAUCAUCAGCAGAAGCCGACAAUGAAACCGUCUCCGACAAUCCAACUACUGCGCCUGGAACUGACAACCCCUGCAGCCUCUCCCUCAGCCUACUACCCCUGGAACGGACAACCCCUGCAGCCUCUCCCUCAGCCUACUACACCUGGGACUGACAACACCUGCAGCCUCUCCCUCAGCCUACUACACCUGGGACUGACAACCCCUGCAGCCUCUCCCUCAGCCUACUACCCCUGGAACUGACAACCCCUGCAGCCUCCCCCUUAGCCUACUACCCCUGGAACUGACAACCCCUGCAGCCUCUCCCUCAGCCUACUACCCCUGGAACUGACAACCCCUGCAGCCUCUCCCUCAGCCUACAACCCCUGCAGCCUCUCCCUCACCAAACUACCCCUGCAGCCUCUCCCUCAGCCUACAACCCCCCGCAGCCACUCCCUCAGCCUACACAGCAGUGUUUCUACGGCUAAACUGUAGAGCUGACUCGAGAGUGGACACCCCUGCCAAAUCCCUCUCUUAACUGGGACUGGCUGGCUCAGCUGACCCCCACUUUUACCAUAACAGAAGCCCCACAGUACAAUAACUUGACCCAUGAUCUAAACCUGCUACCCAGGCCAAACACUUCCAAACAGAUACGCAUGACACACUCUACCAAAAGCCUUUUCUAGAUCUAUCGAAGUGAGUCCCAGAUCCUGAUCAUACAUCCUAGUGAUGUCUAUCACAUUUUAAAAAAUGUAACCUUUAUUUAAAUAGGCAAGUCAAUUAAGAACAAAUUCUUAUUUACAAUGACGGCCUACUCUGGCCAAACUCAGACGACGCUGAGCCAAUUGUGCACCGCCCUAUGGGACUCCCAAUCACGGCUGGAUGUGAUACAGCCUGGAUCUCCCACAUCUCUCAAAAGAAACACGUUGUCCAUUAUUGUCCGCCCAGGCACACAGUAUGCCUGGACCCUGUGAACUAUUGUGUCCAAACAACCUUUCAGCCGAUUUGCCAAACACCAUGUAAUGCAAGCCAAGCAAUGACACCAGCCUCCAGUUCUUCAAUAUAGGGAAGUCCCCAUUGUUCGGCAGCAGUGACAGCACUACCCACUGGCAGCUGACUGGUAGCACAGAGUUAUAAUACUCAGAUGUCAGCCCAUCGACCCAUGGCACACAGCCUGGGGAGAGCUGCUGCACAGCGACUGUUAGUUCCUGAAACUAAAGUUCCCCCUCCAGCCCAACACUCUGCUCAGGCCUGAGCUUAGGCGACCCCUCUAAAUUCUCCUGAGCACACAGUGUUGCUGUCACCGUAGAGGUCUGCGUAGAAGACCAUAGUCAUCCUCCUCAUCUCUGUUGGAUCCAACGUCAGAGACCCUGAAGGAUGCCUGAUCUUGUAAAAAAGACCCCAGCUGCGUCCGCUUAGCCCUCAAACUUCGUCUCUGACCCUGAGUCAAUGUCUCUAAUAUCCGGCUCCAACCUCUGAAUAGUAGACCUUAUCCUAGCUGGCGCAGAGUACUGCUCAAAAAUCAUUCUUUAACUUGUCUCCUCCCUUUCAUCUACACUGAUUGAAGUGCAUUUAACAAGUGACAUCAAUAAGGGAUCAUAUCUUCCAUCUGGUCAGUCUAUGUCAUGGAAAGAACAGGAGUUCUUAACAUGUGAUGUUUCUGAGAUGCCACUAGAGCAAAUCUUGGAGCCCAAAACCCUCUUUCUCCCUUACUGACAUAGAUCCUAUGUAGCCUUGCUGCACUAAUCUUCCCCUUCACUACCUUCACACAUGUAUAGAUCCUGUCUCCACACGUCUACUAGUCCAUGCUGUUUCAACACAUUGGUUAAGGCCACCUCCAACUGUGGAUGAGCUUCUUCCCAGUUCCUAUCUAGUGUGGAAUCUGUUUUACAGUUCCUCCAUUCCUCUAUCCUCAUCGGGCAGCCCCACGGAAUCCGGAGCCCCCAGCUGCCCCCCAACUGCCUCCAACUCCUCCCCACAAUCACCCCGCGUGUCUGUAAUUACACUGGGCACAUCACCCUGCGUGUCUGUAAUUACACUGGGCACAUCAUUCUCUGUUGUCUGUGAGACAGGCGUAUCAGCCUUGGAGUCAGCAUUGCCACUGCCCUCGGUAACCACUGCUGGGAGUUCAGUCACUAACACGCCCGCCCCUGAGCUCUCCGCCACAGCAAUCUCGGCUACAUCAACAUUAACGUCAUCAGUAUGUACCGAACUGAUACACAAAACAACUCUGGAUUCAAACUUAGAUAGUUAUAAAACAAUUAUUGCAACCAAUAGAAUGUUAUAUACAGUAUGUUGGGGAUACAACCAAUAGAAUGUUAUAUACAGUAUGUUGGGGAUACAACCAAUAGAAUGUUAUAUACAGUAUGUUGGGGAUACAACCAAUAGAAUGUUAUAUACAGUAUGUUGGGGAUACAACCAAUAGAAUGUUAUAUACAGUAUGUUGGGGAUACAACCAUCCCAGCUCUGCAGAUGUUUCUGCGAAGAGAUAGAAUCAUUAGAUCAUUUGUUUCUGGCCUCUAUGUCAAUUUUUUUUAUGGUAAAGGUCUUUAUUUUUUUAUUUACAUAUUUAAUACAUUUUGGGUAUUGAAGAUGCACUCUGUUCAUUCUCCAUAUUCUGACACUAAGUGUAUUUUAUGUUGGUGUAAUUAAGCAUGAUACAAGAGAAUGAUCCGAUAUCAAUAAUCAUGGAUUUUUUAACCCAGUGUAUUGUUGAGUGGAUUUUUGGAAAUAAAAAUGCAAUUCUGAGUAGCUUUUCUUAAUUUGAAACAAAAAAAGAGUAGUCUUUUGUAGUUGGGAAUAAUAAUCUUCUGGUGUUCUGUAAAAUAUUUGUAGAGAUUACAUUUUUCAUCCUCUUUGGCAGGUAAGAAUUUCACUGUAAGGUCUACACCUGUUGUAUUCUGCGCAUGUGACAAAUAAAAUUGGAUUUAAUUUGAAUUAAAUUAGCCUUUUUUAUUUAUUUAUAUGUUUGUCUAAAUGUGUGAUUUAGGUUGCCUCCUAAAUUAAUAUUUCCUGUCUGGGUUUGAUUUAAUAUCGAUUGAAUGCUAUUUAAACACACCAGGUUUGCCCCUACGGGGAUAUACAAUACACUCAAUGUGUAUCUUUCACCAUGUAAGGUGCAAUUCAAAAUGAGAACCUCUUUCUUGGUCUGUAUGCUGGGAUAUAAGGGAAAAUUAUGUAUUCUUAUUUAUCAGGAUGCCUACACCUCUACUGUUACUACAGUAGGUGGCAGCAUUGGCUUCUCUAACCCAGCUACUCUUUAAAUAUUACAUUUCAAACAUUUUUAAGUGUAACUCUUGCAGGAAAACCACAUCUGCUGACAAUCUCUUUAGAUGUUCAUGAACCUUAUGCUUUUUUUGGACAUCAUGAAGCCUAUGCACAUUCCAUGUAAAAAGCUGGAUUUUUUUGGCCUUUGUUGGCCUUGACUUAUGUGAAGAAUCAUAGUUAUGGAUGGAAAUUACAAGUGUAAUGGCUGUGCUCAAUGCAAUGGCACUUAUAAAUGUAGAUCCUUCAAACACCCCCAAACAGGGAAAUCUAUCCCAAUUAAAGGUGUUAUUACGUGUUCCACUAAGGCAGUUAUUUAUCUUAUAACUUGUCCUUGUGGUAAAAAUUAUGUGGGUAAAACAAAGCGUGAAUUAAAAGUACGUAUCUCAGAGCAUCGUAGCACCAUUAGGUGCAAAAACUUAACUUACCCAGUUGCGGCCCACUUUUUGGAAGCAAACCAUCCGAUUUCGUCUCUGUGUUAUAUUGGUAUCGAACAUGUCACCCUCCCGAGGAGAGGGGGUGACCUUGAUACUUUAUUGUUAAAACAAGAGGCUGCCUGGAUCUUUAAUUUAAAGACCCUUGCUCCCUUCGAUCUCAACAUAGACUUUGAUCUGAAGCCAUUCUUGUGAUAAUUGUGAUUUUGCCAUUGUAAUUGUUUGUUAGAUACAUUUUAGACUACAAAUGCUAUGAUCGUAUGCUAUCCAUUUGUUUGUCUUUUUGUAUGUUCUUUGUAUGCCAUUUUUUAAAAUAUUUGAGUUAACCAAUGAUAUUAGGCCAUACUUGGCCAUGAUUACAAACACCUGUGUGUCUCUUGACACUAUAUAAAUGACUCAUCUCGCAGUGUUUGAUGAUACCCUGAUGAAGAC
rnacentral:lncRNA from 1 species